rnacentral:tRNA from 1 species
GAGUGGACAUGGCAUAAUGGUUUGAGUGUUGGACUACAACUCUGGAGACCAAGGUUCAAUUCCCAGUUCAGCCA